CCCGCCCAAUUCCUGUCACAUUCAGCCCACAAGGCCCAGCGACGAUGAGAAACCCACCCUCGCCCACAGCACUGGCACUGGCAGCACAUUUGCCAUGAAUCAAUCAAUUCCAUGGAGGGCACGAACAAGCAUACCAGAUGAUGCGACGCUGGGCAACCUAAUUCCAAAUUUCCAUCCACAAACGUUACAGCAGCCAAAUCCACUCACCUCUAAAAAAAUACAGCAAGCAACCGGAUGGUGGUACAACACUUGCCCAGUUUUGAUUGUCUUUCCAACACCCGGCUAUUCCAUGCAACAGAUUCUCUUCUCUUCUCUUCUCUUCUUCAUUCAUCCGACUAUGGUGCGCUUCCUACCCCGUUGCCUCACUGUAAACAAAAAAGAUCGAUUGCAAAGAGUGGAUAAAAAAAAG
rnacentral:misc_RNA from 1 species